rnacentral:rRNA from 1 species
AUUUGCAUUUGAAUACAUAGGAUGCAAAGGCGAACUCGGGGAACUGAAACAUCUAAGUACCCGAAGGAAAAGAAAUCAAGAGAGAUUCUCCAAGUAGCGGCGAGCGAACGGGGAGGAGCCUGGCGUGAUUUAUUAUUGAACUGAGUAGAACAAUUUGGGAAAGUUGGCCGUAGAGGGUGAAAGCCCCGUAUACGAAGGUUUGAUGAGGAACUAGGCACGCGAACAAGUAGGCCGGGACACGUGAAAUCCUGGUUGAAGAUGGGUGGACCAUCAUCCAAGGCUAAAUACUACUUACUGACCGAUAGUGAACCAGUACCGUGAGGGAAAGGUGAAAAGAACCCCGGAGAGGGGAGUGAAAUAGAAUCUGAAACCGUUUGCGUACAAGCAGUGGGAGCAUAGUUUAGGCUGUGUGACUGCGUACCUUUUGUAUAAUGGGUCAGCGAGUUACUUUCAGUGGCGAGGUUAACUGAAUAAGGGAGCCGUAGAGAAAUCGAGUCUGAAUAGGGCGAUAGUCGCUGGGAGUAGACCCGAAACCGGGCGAUCUAGCCAUGUGCAGGAUGAAGGUUGGGUAACACCAACUGGAGGUCCGAACCGGGUAAUGUUGAAAAAUUAUCGGAUGACGUGUGGCUAGGAGUGAAAGGCUAAUCAAGCCCGGAGAUAGCUGGUUCUCCCCGAAAGCUAUUUAGGUAGCGCCUCGUGAAUGAUUACUGGGGGUAGAGCACUGUUUCGGCUAGGGGGCUGUCAUGGCUUACCAAACCGAUGCAA